GACGAACGCUGGCGGCGUGCUUAACACAUGCAAGUCGAACGGAAAGGCCCUGCUUUGUGGGGUGCUCGAGUGGCGAACGGGUGAGUAACACGUGAGUAACCUGCCCUUGACUUUGGGAUAACUUCAGGAAACUGGGGCUAAUACAGGAUAGGAGCUCCUGCUGCAUGGUGGGGGUUGGAAAGUUUCGGCGGUUGGGGAUGGACUCGCGGCUUAUCAGCUUGUUGGUGGGGUAGUGGCUUACCAAGGCUUUGACGGGUAGCCGGCCUGAGAGGGUGACCGGCCACAUUGGGACUGAGAUACGGCCCAGACUCCUACGGGAGGCAGCAGUGGGGAAUAUUGCACAAUGGGCGGAAGCCUGAUGCAGCAACGCCGCGUGCGGGAUGACGGCCUUCGGGUUGUAAACCGCUUUCGCCUGUGACGAAGCGUGAGUGACGGUAAUGGGUAAAGAAGCACCGGCUAACUACGUG
rnacentral:rRNA from 1 species